rnacentral:misc_RNA from 1 species
GAAGUCGUUACUCCAACCCUUGUGGAGGAGGACGCCGAAGGUGGGGCUAAUGACUGGGGUGAAGUCGUAACAAGGUAGCCGUACCGGAAGGUGCGGCUGGAUCACCUCCUAACAGGGAGACAACAAAAUGUAAAUAUUAAUUUUGUCACCUUAGGUCGAUCGGUAUCUCAGAUUCUUAUUUUUUAAGAAUUUCAGUUUCUAAGUUUUUUCUAGGUCACACCCAUCACUUUUCCUGGGCCAUUAGCUCAGGUGGUUAGAGCGCACCCCUGAUAAGGGUGAGGUCCCUGGUUCAAGUCCAGGAUGGCCCAUAUCUCUAUGUUGGGGGUAUAGCUCAGUUGGUAGAGCGCCUGCUUUGCAAGCAGGAUGUCAGCGGUUCGAGUCCGCUUACCUCCACUGAAUACCACCUCUUACAUAUAGUUGAAGUGGGAAAUUGUUUUGAGUCGUGUCCUAAUUUGCUCUGAGCGAAUCUAGCUUCCUAUUUUAUCCAAGAAAUAAGAUGCUGGACUCAUUGAAUUUUUUUUCAUUGUUUUCAGAGAACCUUGACAACUGCAUAGAUUAUUUUUAAAGACAAUAAGCAUCUUUAAUGAUGCAGAUUUAUUAUUUGUGCGAAUGCAUUAAAUAACAAUUCUAUUAAGCUGAUGCUUCAAUUAUUGAAGUUAUUGGUCAAGCUACAAAGGGCUCACGGAGGAUACCUAGGCACACAGAGGCGAUGAA